rnacentral:lncRNA from 1 species
UUUAAUACUCAGUGUAUACAUUUUGCAGAUUAAAUUUAAAUACGUAUUUUGGACCAGUUAUUUGAUAAAAUUUCUUCAGACGUUGUUUUUCAAACCAUCAUCAUAAAUUUAACAUAUCUGAUUUUCGUAAGUACUUCAAACCCCUAGCAAGGGAAAACUGUAAAUCUAAUGAAUAAGAUCUUCUCAGGCAAUUAGACAAUAUUUACAAACAGGCUGCUUGACUCAAAGGUGACUUCCUUAAAUCCGAGUUUCUCAGCCCCAGCACUGUGGAUGUUUUGAGCGGGUAAUUCUUUGUUAUGGAGGCUGUCCUACAACAGGGUCUUAAGAGGCCAGCAGCACCUCCCAGUUGUGACAAUAAAAAUUAUCUCCCCACAGUACCAAGGUUACCCCUGACUGGGAACCAUUGCCUUAAGUAUUUAAACACUGAUGAAAAGCUUAAUCUUUUUAAAACUUUAAAAUUCUUAAGCAUUUUGAUAAGCUCACAAAUUUAUACUUCAGAUGCUCAUAAACUUCAGAUGCCUUUAAAAAUUAAAAUAUCAAAACUCUUACAAAGCUCAUUGCUUCAAGUCCAGUUGACCGAUUACCAAAUCAGCCAGAGAAUUUUCUUCUCUGGCUGUCUACACCCCUGUCUCCCUUCCGGGACUUUCUGACCCUGCUAAGGGGAUGUGCUCACCCAACUAGAAGCUGUGGAAUUACCUCUCAGGCUGCCUGAGGUCACGCACUCAUGGUUUCUGGUCAGAGUCUCAGGUCAGAGGACAAGAACUGAGGGUUGAGGUCAGAGAUUUGGGACCAGCAGGGGCUCCGGGGCGCCGCUUGCGGGGUGGUGAGCCCCGUAUUGGCUCCAUGACUCCUUCAUGGGGCCUCCCAGCCCACGCCCUUCGCUGGGCCUCGCAAACCUCCCGGGAUCCGGUGAGUCCAGCUUCCUUUGUAGCCUUGUCGCUUUAGAAAUGUUAUUACUCAUUUUGACCUGACAGAGUUUACCGCCUUCUGAGCCAGCCUUUCACGCGAUUGGCCAGGUAGGGCCCUGAACGCCUGUGUGGGUGGAUCAGUGCACACACGCGCGGUAGACGUGAUCUGGGGCUCGCAGGGCCUCCUGGUCCUGCUGCACACGGCUGGCCGACCCUUCCUCUCAGCGUUCCCCUCUCAGACUCCAUAGAUAAUGAUGCUUAUUUUUAACAGCGACGUUAUUAUUUGUGGUUGAAGUUUUACAGCAGAGCAAUUUCUGAUCUCAGCUCUAAAGAGAACAUCUACCUCUGUGGGUUAUUUUCCACCGGUAUGUUUGGAAUUUGCUUGUGCUGUAAUUUGGCAACUCCUGAAACUUUAGCCUAAAAAAUUUUGUGUGAGGUUUUGAAACGAUACUUAGAAACCUGAGAAAAAUAUAAAACACUCUCAGAUCCACACAUCAAGCAUGAGGCCUUUUCCUAAAGUACUCAGUGUUUGUUGAGGGAGUGAAUGGAGGCCCCCAAGCCUUCAUUAAUUCUGAUGCGGACCCCUGAGCUCUCCUUGUCCUCUGGGCUCGCGACUCCCUCCUUCUUCUGAGGCAAAUGGGGAGGUUUGAGCACAAACACUCACUGGAAUUAAGCCUGGUUUGUAGGACUCGCGGGGGAGGGAGGGGAACACCAGCUACAGAGUCAGGGACCCUGUCUGGGGCUCCCAAGGCUCACAGCAGGUGUUCAGCAGCAGGUGACGCUCACACCUGCCUCUGGUUGGGCCUGUUUAACUGCUCACACCUGCCUCUGGUUGGGCCUGUUUAACUGCUCACACCUGCCUCUGGUUGGCGGCCUAUUUAACUCCUCACCUGCCCGUCUUCUACUCUGAUCACAAAGAUCCCUCGUCCCCGCCCCCCACAACCCCCUACAACCUCCUCUGUUUUGCAUGCGAGGUCCCUCACAGCGUAGGCUCAGGCCCUAGGAAGAGUGGAGGAGCUGCUGGAGCAGCAGAUGCGGCGAGGACUGCUGGACCUGGGGAUCCUGCUACCUGGCCUGUUGCCGUCUGUGGCCCACCAGCCCCAUUAGGGCAGCAACAACGCCCAGAGGAGCCUCUCGCUUAACCAGGUUCAAGGAGCAGCUGAACCUCGGCCCACAUCUCAGGGAAUCAGCAGUGAGUCCAGAUCUCACCGCACCUUCCCGGAAGUCACUUGGUCCCUGGAGAUUCAAAACCGUGUGAGGCACAAACAGCAGCGAUGGUCUCUGGUCUCCACCGACUUGGCCGAACUUCCAACUUCUUCUGAAUAAACCUUGGGACUUAAGGAGAACCUGCAACAAAUCCAGCUGAAUCUCUGCACUCCCAUAAAGAGACCUGGCAGUCUCUCUCAGAACAUGUCCCUUGGGAGCUCCAAGUCAACCUGCAACAAAUCCAGAAGCUUCCUUGCCUGAGAGACCACAUGGAAAGGUGAACUCACCAUCUUUGGAGUCACCUGAUGUCUAUAGCUCUUGUUGGGUAAGGGUGAAGAUUGCACUGUGAGAGCCUCAACAAUGAACACUAAUAUGAUUUGGGAACAAGAUAUACAAGAAGAGAUAGACUAUGAACCACCUUCAGAUACAGAAUAAGAACAAAAAAAGAGAAAACAAAAUACAGGUUUCUGAAUCUGUCAUGAGGCAUAACAAGACCUAGGCCAUCUGGUGACCAAAGAAUUAAAGACUGAGGGUCCUCAAAAACUCUAUUGAAAAAGAAGAACAAAAUUAGAGGACUCACAUGUGCUGAUUUCAACUUACUACAAAGCUACAGUACUAAGUACUUGUAUUGGCACAAAGAUAGACAUAGAUGAAUAGAAUAGAACUGUGAUUCCAGAAAUAUAUCCUUUGUUCAAUUGGUCUUUGAUACACCAAGAUAAUUCAGUAGGGAAAAGAACAGUCUUUCAAUAAAUGGUGCUGGGGACAACUGGACAUCCACAUGCCAAAGUAUGAAGCUGGAUGCUUACCUAACGCUAUGCACAAACAUUAACUCAAAAUUAAUUAACAUUCUAAUGUGACAGCUAAAACCAUAAAGCCCUUGAGGGAAACAUAGCAAUAACUAUUCAAGACCUUAGAUUAGGCAAUGCAUUCUUAAACACCAAAAGAAAAAAUAUAGGUAAAUUGGAUUUCACCAAAAUGAAAAACUUUU